GAGUUUGAUCGUGGCUCAGAGCGAACGCUGGCGGCAGGCCUAACACAUGCAAGUCGAGCGGAUGUAGCAAUACAUCAGCGGCAGACGGGAUAGUAACACGUGGGAACGUGCCCUUUGGUUCGGAAUAACUCGGCGAAAGCCGUGCUAAUACCGGAUAAGCCCUUACGGGGAAAGAUUUAUCGCCAUUGGAGCGGCCCGCGUCUGAUUAGCUAGUUGGUGAGGUAAUGGCUCACCAAGGCGACGAUCAGUAGCUGGUCUGAGAGGAUGAUCAGCAUCACUGGGACUGAGACACGGCCCAGACUCCUACGGGAGGCAGCAGUGGGGAAUAUUGGACAAUGGGCGCAAGCCUGAUCCAGCCAUGCCGCGUGGAUGAUGAAGGCCUUAGGGUUGUAAAGUCCUUUUUAACGGGGAAGAUAAUGACGGUACCCGUAGAAUAAGCCCCGGCUAACUUCGUGCCAGCAGCCGCUGU
rnacentral:rRNA from 1 species